CAUAGUAUGGGAAUAUCUCCUGAUAUUUUCAUUAAACAUUUAUGGCCAUUAGAUGGGUAUGCGUCCUAUUAGUUAGUUGGUAAGGUAACGGCUUACCAAGGCAGCGAUAGGUAGGGGUCCUGAGAGGGAGAUCCCCCACACUGGUACUGAGACACGGACCAGACUCCUACGGGAGGCAGCAGUGAGGAAUAUUGGACAAUGGGCGAGAGCCUGAUCCAGCCAUGCCGCGUGCAGGAAGACUGCCCUAUGGGUUGUAAACUGCUUUUACAGAGGAAGAACCACUCCCACGUGUGGGAGUUUGACGGUACUCUGCGAAUAAGGAUCGGCUAACUCCGUGCCAGCAGCCGCGGUAAUACGGAGGAUCCAAGCGUUAUCCGGAAUCAUUGGGUUUAAAGGGUCCGUAGGCGGGCAGUUAAGUCAGUGGUGAAAGUCUUCCGCUCAACGGGAGAACUGCCAUUGAUACUGAUUGUCUUGAGUUAUUAUGAAGUGGUUAGAAUGAGUAGUGUAGCGGUGAAAUGCAUAGAUAUUACUCAGAAUACCGAUUGCGAAGGCAGAUCACUAAUAAUAUACUGACGCUGAUGGACGAAAGCGUAGGUAGCGAACAGGAUUAGAUACCCUGGUAGUCUACGCCGUAAACGAUGGUUACUAGCUGUUCGGAUCGAUUAAGAUCUGAGUGGUUAAGCGAAAGUGAUAAGUAACCCACCUGGGGAGUACGUUCGCAAGAAUGAAACUCAAAGGAAUUGACGGGGGCCCGCACAAGCGGUGGAGCAUGUGGUUUAAUUCGAUGAUACGCGAGGAACCUUACCAGGGCUUAAAUGUAGUCUGACAGGUCUGGAAACAGACUUUUCUUCGGACAGAUUACAAGGUGCUGCAUGGUUGUCGUCAGCUCGUGCCGUGAGGUGUCAGGUUAAGUCCUAUAACGAGCGCAACCCCUGUGGUUAGUUGCCAGCGAGUAAUGUCGGGAACUCUAGCCAGACUGCCGGUGCAAACCGCGAGGAAGGUGGGGAUGACGUCAAAUCAUCACGGCCCUUACGUCCUGGGCCACACACGUGCUACAAUGGUAGGGACAGAGAGCAGCCACUUCGCGAGAAGGAGCGAAUCUACAAACCCUAUCACAGUUCGGAUCGCAGUCUGCAACUCGACUGCGUGAAGCUGGAAUCGCUAGUAAUCGCAUAUCAGCCAUGAUGCGGUGAAUACGUUCCCGGGCCUUGUACACACCGCCCGUCAAGCCAUGGAAGCCGGGGGUACCUGAAGUCGGUCA
rnacentral:rRNA from 1 species